AGUCUUAUGGUGUAACGGUUAGCACGCCAGACUCUGACUCUGACAAUCUGAGUUUCAAUCUCAGUAAGACCU
rnacentral:tRNA from 1 species